GCCUCCCAGGUGGACUUCAGUCCGCUCAGCUGUGGGUAGGCUGCUGCUGAAUUACCGGUCGACAGAGUACCAAAAUAAGAGUUCGGAUAUUGUCAAUUAUAUUUUGUAUGCGGGAAUUUUAACUGGUUUUUCGUUGAGCCACAUCAAGAAUACCGACAUAUCGUUUAAGGAACACAUUGAUAGCCCACAGGGUAGCUGUAGUUAGCCAUGGAGGAUGGGAAACCAGUGUGGGCGCCCCACCCCACCGAUGGGUUUCAACUGGGCAUGAUCGUGGACAUUGGAGCUGGCGCCCUCACCAUCGAACCAUUCAACCGGAAGGGCAAGACCUUUCUGGCUUCUAUGAACCAAGUGUUCCCUGCUGAGGAGGAUGUCAACAAACAUAUGGAGGACAACUGUUCUCUUAUGUACCUGAAUGAAGGCACACUCUUAAACAACGUCCGAGUGCGGUAUAGUAAAGACAAGAUUUAUACUUAUGUGGCCAACAUCUUGAUUGCGGUGAACCCUUACUAUGACAUACCCAAACUGUACGCUCCAGAGACCAUCAAGUCUUAUCAGGGCCGGUCCCUGGGCACUCUACCACCUCACGUCUACGCUAUCGCGGACAAGGCUUACCGGGACAUGAGGGUGCUGAAGAUGAGCCAGUCUAUCAUAGUGUCUGGAGAAUCUGGGGCCGGGAAGACAGAAAACACAAAGUUUGUCCUCAGAUAUUUAACAACAUCAUACGGAACGGGUCAAGAUAUUGAUGAGAGAAUUGUUCAAGCAAACCCCCUGCUUGAGGCCUUUGGAAACGCCAAGACAGUCAGAAAUAACAACAGCAGUCGUUUUGGGAAAUUUGUGGAAAUCCACUUCAAUGAAAAGAAUAAAGUGGUGGGUGGCUUCGUGUCUCACUACCUGCUGGAGAAGUCAAGGAUUUGCAUGCAGAGUAAAGAGGAGAGGAACUACCACAUCUUCUACAGGCUAUGUGCCGGAGCCUCUGAGGACAUCAGACAGAGGCUGCACCUUGACUCCCCUGACAGCUUCAGGUAUUUGAAUCGAGGAUGCACGAGAUACUUUGCCAGCAAGGACACAGACAAACAGAUCAUGCAGAAUCGCAAGAGUCCUGAGCAUGUGAAGCUGGGCGCCCUGAAGGACCCUCUGUUGGACGACCAGGGAGACUUCAACAGGAUGUGCGGGGCCAUGAAGAAGAUUGGCCUGGACGACACGGAGAAGCUGGACCUGUUCAGGGUGGUGGCCGGGGUGCUGCACCUGGGUAACAUUGACUUUGAGGAAACCGGGAGUACAUCGGGCGGCUGCAUCCUGAUGAACCAGUCUAGUCAGAAGCUGGCCUACUGUGCUGACUUGCUGGGCCUAGACCAGGAGGACCUGAGAGUCAGCCUCACCACCAGGGUCAUGCUCACCACAGCAGGGGGCGCCAAAGGAACAGUUAUCAAGGUGCCUUUGAGGGUGGAACAGGCAAACAACGCCCGGGACGCCCUGGCCAAGGCCGUGUACAGCUGCCUCUUCGAUCACGUGGUCAGGAGGGUCAACCAGUGUUUCCCCUUCAAAACCUCCUCCAACUUCAUCGGGGUGCUGGAUAUCGCCGGCUUCGAGUAUUUUGAACACAACAGCUUUGAGCAGUUCUGCAUCAACUACUGCAACGAGAAGCUGCAGCAGUUCUUCAACGAGCGCAUCCUGAAAGAGGAGCAAGAGCUAUAUCAGAGGGAAGGACUGGGAGUCAAUGAAGUUCAUUAUGUCGACAACCAGGACUGCAUAGACCUGGUGGAAGCAAAACUAGUGGGCAUCCUGGACAUUCUGGAUGAAGAGAACCGUCUACCACAGCCCAGCGACCAUCACUUUGCCAACACCAUCCACAGCCAGCACAAAGACCACUUUAGACUGACGGUCCCUAGGAAGUCGAAGCUGGCUGUUCACAGGAACGUCAGAGAUGAUGAAGGCUUCAUUGUCAGACACUUUGCCGGAGCUGUGUGCUACGAGACGAUCCAGUUUGUAGAGAAGAAUAAUGAUGCCCUCCACAUGUCUUUGGAGAGCCUUGUGUGUGAGUCCAAGGACAAGUUUGUGCGAGAGCUUUUUGAGAACUCUAACAACAGCAAGGACUCCAAGCAGAAGGCUGGCAAACUCAGUUUCAUCAGUGUGGGCAAUAAAUUCAAGACCUCCAGUCUCCUACCUCUUUUCCCAAGAAAUCCAUGUCAGCUAGAGAGGGGGGCGAAAGAAAAGGUGUGGAAAAAGUCAAGAGAUAGAAAGUAGCAGCCAGGCUAAAGUCGGUCACAAAGAAGUAUAGUCAGCCAGGGACAGAAGACCCAGUUGAACCUACUGCUGGAGAAGCUUCGCAGCACUGGCUCCAGCUUCAUUCGCUGUGUAAAACCCAACUUAAAGAUGGUGAGCCACCAAUUUGAAGGAGCCCAGAUUCUGUCUCAGCUGCAGUGUUCAGGCAUGGUGUCAGUGCUGGACCUAAUGCAGGGCGGCUUCCCCUCACGAGCUCCCUUCCAUGAGCUCUACAACAUGUACAAGCAAUACAUGCCUGACAAGCUCACACGACUGGACCCCAGGCUCUUCUGCAAGGCUUUGUUCAAAGCACUAGGGCUGAAUGAGAAUGACUACAAGUUUGGGUUGACCAGAGUAUUCUUCCGUCCUGGGAAGUUUGCAGAGUUUGACCAAAUCAUGAAGUCGGACCCGGACCACCUGGCAGAGCUGGUGAAGAAGGUCAACCAGUGGCUGGUCAUCAGCCGCUGGAAGAAGGUCCAGUGGUGCACCCUCUCCGUCAUCAAACUGAAGGAGAAGAUGAAAUAUCGUGCCUCUGCCCUUAUUAAGAUUCAGAAGACCGUCCGCAUGUGGCUCUGUAAGAGGAAACAUAAGCCACGCAUCGAUGGCAUGGUGAAGGUGCGUAACCUGAAAACGCGGAUGGAGUGCUUCAACGAGGUGGUGGGCGCACUGAAGGAGGGCAAGCAGGAGAUGGCCAAGCAGAUCCAGGAGCUGGGGGCCUCCAUCGACACCCUUAUGGCCAAGAUUAAGGCAACAGUAAUGACCCGGAAGGAGAUUGACCAGGAGUACCAGGGUCUGGUGAAGCGCUCGGAGCAACUGCUCUCCUCUAUGCAGCAGAAGAAGCAGGAGGAGGAGGAGAUGGAGAGGCUGCGGCGCAUCGAGGAGGAGAUGGCGCAGGAGAGGAGGCGAAGGGAGGAGGAGGACCAGCGACGCCAGAAGGAGGAAGACGAUAGGAGGAUGAAAUCGGAGAUGGAGCAAAAGAGGAAGCAGGAAGAAGAGGAAAGGAAGAGGAGAGAGGAAGAGGAGAGGAUAAUGCAGGCGGAGAUGGACAUCCAGAUAGCGUUGGAGCGAGAGGAGGACGCCCAGCGGUCAGCCAUGUUGGAGCAGGAGAAGAGGGACAGAGAGCUGGCCAUGAGGAUCGCCCAGAGUGAAGCCGAACUCAUCACCGACGAGGCCCUAAUGGACCUCAGCCUGCGCAGGUACACACGGAUACAAACAAACACACACAGAAGUGGACACACAAACACACACACUGUGCUGUAUAUUGUUAUUCAUAUAUUGUCGUGUCUCAAUACACGAGCCCUAGAUUAGGUUUUUGCAGGACGUACCCAAGGUUAGGUACGUGGAAAAGGUUGUUGUUUAACCCAGAAAAUGUUGUAAUAAGAGCUCAAGGGAGCUUCUGCAGCAGGAUUUGGUAAGGAUUCAACAAGUCAAAUAAAAAUAGGUGUUGUGUUUCAUCUAGGUCCGAAAGGAGACCACUACCUGUCCACUGCAUGCAUAACCUAUUUUUGUUCUCCUUUUGUUCUCCCCUCUUUCAGAAAUGGGUCUUUCUCAGGUCUCUAUCCAGACACAAUGAGAUCCAUGUAAGACAUUAGCCAUUAGUUUAGCCUCCUGCUUCCAGUAACCUAACACAACCCAUUAAUCACACUCCCCCGCAUGCUUUAAUCUCAACCUCAAAUCUAAUCUUUCAUCAAUUUAUAUCCAGGAUUAUACCAGCCCAUGCAAAGCCAUCAUAAACAAUACGCAAAUUCUCUAACUCUUCACGUUGGAUCGAACCAAAUAACACCACAUUCCAGUCACGAAUCAAUCCGCCGUUGUGGUCCCGGCCCAGGGCAUGAAUCAACAGUGCCAUGGGAUAAGCACGUCUGUUACUAGCCCAACGUAAACAGGCAACCGUUGCGUGACAAAUCUAAACAGGAACAGGAACAUGCCGAUCUGCUUUUGAUCGGUUUCUGCUGAUUCUUCUAAGUUGCAACAAUCAUAUGCUCAUAUAUCCUAAUCAUCAUAUCCUCUGUUUGCAGUGCUGGUGGACUUCAAAACCUCAAGGCAAUCACAAUGUAUGUUCUCUGGGACUUUUUUAUACGUUGCAUUUGUUCUUAUAAAGCAUAUGGAUAUGGCAAACAUUGAUAUUCCAUUCCUAUUGUAUUAGAUCUGAUAGCUUUGCACAACUAUUUGAUAAAACACACAAAGCCCCCUCCCCCUAACUCCUAACCAACGUUCGUGGUAGGACUAAUUAGCUAACUACUUAGGACUCACACUUAACCACUCCAGUAAGGAUAUCAGUAGCUACCACCGUCAAAACAAAUGGAUGAGUUUAGCCGUGGUUAGUUACAGUUGGAAUAGAGUAGUACUGUAUUUGGUGUACUGACACUUGGGCUACCUGUUCACUCAUCAGAUGCGAUUAUUUCUUCAUGACUUGUCACUGAGGGAUACAUUUAAGCAGCUUCCAAUUUUGACAGCUGUCAACACGCCACAAGUGUCACAACAGUGUGUGACUGUCACAACGCAGGCUGACAUCAACGUAUCAGAUGGCUGCACACACGGUUCAUAGUGGAAGCCACCCUGAACUCUGUGACCAAUGGGAAAUACUAUUUAUACUACUGAUAUAUGGAUGUGUAUGAAUCAGAGACAUUGGUGUAUUAUUCUGUUAUAGUAAUUUAUGUGUGCUGGUAUUAAUGUGUUUAUAGGGAGGAAAUGGCGCUGGAAAUGUCACAACUUCUGGCUUGGUGGGUAAUGGAGAGAAAUAGUUUUUUCUCGGAUCAAUGAUCAUCUGAAUCACCCAAAUCGAUUAAUCAAAUGAAUCAUUUCCGAAGAAUUCAAAUGUAUUAUUGAAAUUGUUUCAAAUCCUAGUGCGCAAAGGGAAAUGAAGAGAUUUUACCAACUAUGUUAUCUUGUUGAUCAGUUUAUUGAAUCUUGAAAUUAGACGUGUCUGCAUGCGUGUGUGUAUUUUGGGAUGAAAUCUGAUUGUGUACCAGCUGUGGCAUUGACCACAACUAUUGCACUUUGAACACAACUAACUUCCUUAAAACUGGUUUAAGUUACUACUGCAGAAGUUACUGCAAACAACAAACACAGUUUUUUCCCCUCGGACAUCAAUGUACGCUGUUUCCCCUUACUAUGGAUUCCAUAGUAAGGGGAAUUGCAUGCUAUCUAUAAUAAGCGCUCUUUGUUAGAGCUAGUUGGCCAACGCACUCAAUCCCUGUUACCCCCGGAGCACUUUGAGGGGGUGACAUGGCGACUAUGCAGCGCUCAGCCCCAAAGGUCAGGUGAGCUGUCACCACCACACACAACAUAGUCUCUCCCUGACAUUCUUCUGUCACUCCGGUAUCUGCCCAGGCUGGCCCUCCUCUUACAGGGAGGCUUAUUGUCCGAAGAUUGGAUUAGCACCAGAACACCCAAGGAUUCCUCUACAGCGGCCCAAAGCCUUGACCCUGCCACAGAGACAGACCUGGAGGGCCACCCGUAAAUAGGGGCCAAAUCCUGCCUGUCGGGUUGUUAAUUAGAGAUCUCAGAAGCAUGCUGCGGGACGCAGGUAAAGGGCUACAGACUGUGCUUACCGAAGCCCAGGAACACACUGACUAAGUUUAGGUGGGGUGUGGAAAAGGUUAUAGGGUGAAAUGGUCACACUAAAUGGCCACACAUCUGCAGUGGGAGUGUAAUUGCCUGUGGGAUGUCAGAGAGCAGUGACAAAGUCAGACACAGAUUUUCCCCUUUUUGCCCCACUUAGCACUUGAUUAUUUUUCUGAUUGUUACCAGAAUUUUAGUCUUUGAAAAUGACCACCGCAUCACUAUGGCGGCGCCGAUUCUAGCGGGGAUUCCGAGACGUCCCACUGCUCUGACUUUUGAAAAUUGAUUCCUCUCUUCUCUCCCUUCCUUGCGGGGAAUGCAGGGGUCCACAGGUGCAGGCACUCAAAGCCGCCGGCGUGAGGAAGUACGACCUGAGCAAGUGGAAGUACGCUGAGCUGCGGGAUGUCAUCAACACCUCGUGCGAUAUUGAGCUGCUGGCGGCAUGCAGGGAGGAGUUCCAUCGCCGUCUAAAGGUCUACCACGCCUGGAAGUCCAAGAACAAGAAACGUGACACAGCCACAGAGCAGAGGGCCCCCAAAUCUAUCACUGACUACGCCCAACAGAACCCGGCUCCAGCCAUGGCCGCCCAGCAGCAGGAGAUAGCCAUGAACCGCCAGCAGCGCUACUUCCGCAUCCCCUUCAUCCAUCCCGGUGACCAGUACAAGGACCCCCAGAACAAGAAGAAGGGCUGGUGGUACGCCCACUUUGACGGGCCCUGGAUCGCCAGGCAGAUGGAGCUACACCCAGACAAGCAGUCCAUCCUACUCGUGGCAGGAAAAGAUGACAUGGAGAUGUGUGAGCUAAGCCUGGAGGAGACAGGCCUGACCACGAAGAGGGGGGCUGAGAUCCUCCCUCGGCAAUUUGAGGAUGUCUGGGAACGCUGCAACGGGAUCAUGUACCUUCGAAACGCCAUCGAAAGCAGACAGGCCAGGCCCACGUACGCCACAGCUAUGCUGCAGAACCUCCAGUGAACCAGAGGAUCACCCAUGUCCAUGGGCUCAAAAAGAAUGCAGUAAAUAAAGGGAAGAAAGCAGAAGCAUUCCCUAUUAUAGCAGUCUUUGAAGCUAACGGUUAUCUCACUGAGGUCAUUUAAACAUUUUACUUAGAUAUGUUGGUUUUGUUUCUUUGUUAGUUUGUGGGGAAUAUACAUACCAAUUUACAUCUCGUCCUCAAGCAAUAAACCUACGAUUGAAUGAAAUGUUUACUACGAGGCCUUAACUAUUUUAUUGGUAUUAAUGAGAAGUUUCAGAUCAGCCUUUCCUCAAAACAGUCUUAAUUGUAUAUUCAUGUUUAGUUGUUAAAUGAAAUUUAAGCACUGUUGGAACUAUUGUAUUUGAUUGAAUAAAUUGUUGCAAAUAUUUGGCUUUAUGACUCUAGGAAUAAUUGAUUUUGUCGGGCACAUUUUCAGGAUAACGCAGCUGUUCCUCUGUCUGUAGGGCUGGUAUUUCCAUAAUGCUGGGGGCAGGUUGUAUCCUUGGAUGUUGAAUUUGUUGCUGUUAUUUGUUUUAAGAAAGCUUAUUUGACAUUUUCAUGACAAUGAAAGCGCACCAGCUCACAUCUUUUAACAACAGGACAUUGCAGGACUUGUGCAACGAUAGAUGAUUCAUAGGAAGGCAGAUGACAUAAUAUAUUUCUCAAAAAUAUCUUGUUUACGACUUUGUCGAAGGCUGUAUUUUGAGUGUCAUCGUUAACCAUACAGGAGGUUAAUUAGAGCACAAACCUCUUUGGGACACAGUGAAAAUAUACACUUUCCGAAUAUGGCAUAGUGAAAGAAAUCAGUCACUAUUUGUAUUGCAUAGUGACAGAUUGUAUUUACAUCUAAUAACUCCUUUUUAAAAGAAAUUGUAGAAUUUGUAAAUGUAUUUUCAUAGAGGGAACUCCCAAGGGCUUUCUGUUCACCACUAAUAUAAAACACUAAAAACCGAAUUGUCCAACUAUUUUAAUAACUUUGUUGAAAGUUUAAUGUUUCUAGGUGUGAUUUGUAUUGGUCUUUCAAUCUAGAUUGCUUGACUUUUGCCUAGCCUUGACGUUCUGACAUGAGUAAUUCAUCUCAUUGUGAACCCCCCCAGUUAUAAUUUGAUAAUGAGUGAUCUAAUUGUUUGUAUUAUUUUCUGUACAUUAAAAUUGUUUUGCAAUUUCAGAUUCAACUUCAAUUGUAUGCUGAGUAUUGCACUGCAAUAUAGGAAAUAAAUGCAUUCAACCUUU